AGAACGAACGCUGGCGGCGUGCUUAACACAUGCAAGUCGAGUGCGCGUCUGUAGCAAUACAGAUGGCGCACGGCGCACGGGUGCGUAACACGUGGGUAAUCUGCCCUUCGAUGGGGAAUAACCUCGCGAAAGCGAGGCUAAUUCCGCAUAACAUUCCUAGGACCUCGGUCUCUGGACUCAAAGCCGUAAGGCGUCGAUGGAGGAACCCGCGCACGAUUAGCUAGUUGGUGAGGUAACGGCUCACCAAGGCUAUGAUCGUU
rnacentral:rRNA from 1 species